AUUGAACGCUGGCGGCAGGCCUAACACAUGCAAGUCGGGCGAGAGGCGGACGGGUGAGUAAUGUAUGGGGAUCUGCCUGAUGGCGGGGGCUAACUACUGGAAACGGUAGCUAAUACCGCAUACCAUCAGAUGAACCCAUAUGGGAGUAGCUAGUAGGUGAGGUAACGGCUCACCUAGGCGACGAUCCCUAGCUGGUCUGAGAGGAUGAUCGGCCACACUGGGACUGAGACACGGCCCAGACUCCUACGGGAGGCAGCAGUGGGGAAUAUUCGGCAAUGGACGCAAGUCUGAUGCAGCAAUGCCGCGUGAGUGAAGAAGGCCUUCGGAUCGUAAAACACUGUUAUUCGGGAGGCGUUACCGAACGAGGAAGCACCGGCUAACUACGUGCCAGCAGCCGCGGUAAUAC
rnacentral:rRNA from 1 species